rnacentral:rRNA from 1 species
GUACACACCGCCCGUCACACCAUGAGAGUUGGUAACACCCGAAGUCCGUGAGGUAACCGUAAGGAGCCAGCGGCCGAAGGUGGGAUUGAUGAUUGGGGUGAAGUCGUAACAAGGUAGCCGUAGGAGAACCUGCGGCUGGAUCACCUCCUUUCUAGGGAG